UACGUAGGGUGCAAGCGUUAUCCGGAAUUAUUGGGCGUAAAGAGCUCGUAGGCGGUUUGUCGCGUCUGCUGUGAAAACUGGGGGCUCAACCCCCAGCCUGCAGUGGGUACGGGCAGACUAGAGUGCGGUAGGGGAGAUCGGAAUUCCUGGUGUAGCGGUGAAAUGCGCAGAUAUCAGGAGGAACACCGGUGGCGAAGGCGGAUCUCUGGGCCAUUACUGACGCUGAGGAGCGAAAGCGUGGGGAGCGAACAGG
rnacentral:rRNA from 1 species